CACCCCAGCCCCCUUCUCAGGCCUCGGCGGCCGAGCCCCUGCGCGGGGGCGUGGGCGGCCCCGUUCCCCGGCCCCCGUGGUGGGUUGAGCCGCCAUGUUCCCCCUUCCCCCGGCGGGGCGGGCGGCCCCGGGGGUCUCCCAGGCUGCCCCGGCAGCGCCGAGCUGGUGGGGGGGAGCUGGGGCUGGGAGCCAGAGCAGGGAACUGGGAUGGAGAACGGGGACUGGGUGUCAGGCCUGCGAGGAGGAACUGGGCCUGGGUGCCGGGACUGCGACAGGGAACCGGGACUGGGGACUGGGAUUGGGUGCCAGCGCCGGGAAGCGGAGCCGGGACCGUGGUGCUCACCGCGCAUGCGCGGGACCCUCCACCUGCUGCGCCGCCGCCGGCCGCCAGGUGCCGCCGCCACCGCCGCGGGGUGGGGCGCGUCGAGCGCGCUGACGUCACGCGCCAGCGAGGCUCCGCCUACAGCCAUGGCGGCGGCAGCGGAGGCAGAACCGGCUGCUCUUCUCCGCCCGGAGCCGCUUUCCGUGUCCCGCGGCGGCUGUGAGUCACGCCGCUUAGCCGCAGAGUUCGCAGCCUCCCUCCUUGCUGGCAGCCCGGAAGGACGUACGAAGCCGCUGGAAGCGGGCAGGUACGUGAAGCAGGCCUGUCCCGAGAGGCUUUUCUUCUCCCUUCCGCCACGGCAUCGCAAUUCGUCUGCGCAUGCGGCCGCAAAGGGCGUGCGCCCUCGUAAGCCAGCGAACAAAAGUCUGGCAGGGCUGAAAUCCCGCCGGAGGGCUGCGACUCCGGGGCUGGCACAGGCCUGCUCAUGCUCCUGCGGGGAAGGUCUGGCCGACAUUCCAAGUGGAGGCCCCGCACCCUGGCACGGUGCUCCACCUGUUCCCGUUUCAGCCCUCUGGCUGUAGCUGUUUGGGAUGCAGCGACCCUGGCGGGGACCGGAGCCGAGCCGCUGCGGUCAGCCGUGAGCGCGCGCCGGCGGGUCGAACCCCCGCGGCGCUCUGGGCUCCGGCGGCCUCCGUUGUUCGCCGCAAGCCUUCCAGCGUGGCGGGGUCUGCCGUGACCCCCGUCAUUCCUGCAGCGCUUGCCAGAGCAACCCCGGGAUGGUUUGAGGCCUCUCUCUGCCCUCCUCGGGGGGAGGCUAUAGAAAUCUCGGACACGGCCCGUGGGGGGCUGAGGGGGAAGAUGGGGCUGGAUGAAGGGAUGGGGGAAUGAGGAAGAGCGGCCAGGCGUGGGGGGAGGAAGCGUGGGGCUGUGGGGGGGACAGAUGAACCUCACAGGUGAGGUCUGCGCACGGACAAGCGUCUCCUUUCUGCCCUGCAGAGCCGAGAGGAUGAGACUGGAGUUUCCCCCUAGGUCUCACCUGGGAUGGCGUCCUGCAGGCAGCAGGUGCUUCUCCUCCACCUGGAAGAAGAGCGUGAGCAGAGGAGGAUGAGGAGGUGAGUGAGGCUCAGCUCUUCCCACUGGAGCAGGUCUGACGUGGCACGAGCCCCGGCGGGGACCUGCCCGUGAUCUCUGCGCCUGGCCUGCUCCGAUGGGUUUUCCAAGGGGCUUUAGAUCUUGGUCUCUGCACCUCCAGACCGGGAGGAAGGAGGAGCUGGGCGUCCUUCUGCCACAGCUGCUCUGCUCCUGCCCUACCUCAGCCACGUGGUUUCCAACCUGCAGUUCCUCCGGUUGCGUGCUGGAUCCGUGCGCUGCCUCGCGACCCGAAAGCCGCGAGCGAAGCUGCGGUUAGCGCUCUGAGCCUGCCGCCAGGCUCUGCCGAAUCGCCCCGGGGACAGGACGAGCCGUCGGGGUUCGUGGGCAGCGUGGAGGCGAUGAGAGCGCAGGCAGCGAAACAGCGUUUCAGCGGCUCCUCUUGAACUUCAGGAAACCGUCUCGGAGGGUGGAUGCGGAGCGGCCGCCCGGACACGGAUACGCGCCCUCCGAAUGCGAGGCUCGCCUGGCCGCCUCUGCCCGCCCGGUGUUGCCCCAGCUGUUUAUGGAGAGGCCAAACUUGAGGAAAACCUCAGGAACUGAAAACCCUGGAAGCCCCGCUGGGUUGCUCCUCACUUCGGAGGUGAGGAUGUUUUACGGCCGUUUGGAGUCACGGGAAAUAAUAUGCUUAAAAACAGAGAAUUCCGCAACCGGGGAUGUUUGCGGACGCAGAGAUUGCCCCAUUUCCCGUUGCGUGCAGCGCCGCGGCUGCGACGAUGACCCUGGAGCACCAGUUGGAGGCCUUGAACUCGGGGUUCGGCCUCGCUGCGUGUUCCUGUGCCGUGGCUUCGCUGCGUGCCGAGGGAUGGGGGGCUCCCCGGCUCGGAUGCGCCACGGGAGCUGUCGCCUGCGCGCUCCUAACCUCUGGCUUGUUCCCUUCCAGCUCUCCUAGGCCUUGGCGAUGCCCAGUGUGGCCUCGGGCGGAGGAGGCUUGACCCUGCUGCGGAGAAGCCGUGUGCGCUGUGGAAGGGCAGCGGGAAGCGAUUCCCAGCCUUGGAGGUCUCCCGGCUCCGGGGACGGGCGCACCCGACACAGAGAUGCCCUCGGACGAUCCCGCUGCGGGCCGGUGCCCCGGUUACACCAGUAAAAGCCCCAGUGAGCAAAGGGGAACCCCGGAGAUUCCCGUGACCCGUUUCCUGCCCAGCCCAUCCGUCACAUUUUGGGAGGGACGGGAUUCGGGUGGGGGUUUCCUGGGUCCUCGGAGCACGGAUGCUCUUAGCUUAACGGUGCGGCUGCUCCACAGAUCACAGAGCCCCGAGGACCGAGAGGGGUGACUGGUGUGUUGCCGUUUUGGGGUACAGUCGGACACAUUUAAUGCUGUACAGUGCCUGAUGAAUAAAUACAAAUACAAAUUCCGGGUGUCUCCUUGG
ensembl:lncRNA